CGGAAUCUUCUGCUGGGAUUACAAGAGGCAGUGAGCAAUCCCCAGGUACAAAGUAAAAGUAUUUUAAAAUGUCUUUACUUAUAAAGCAGAAACCCUAGAGUACUCCUGACACCUUAAAACUUUAUGAAAAACUCAUUUUUCAGAGGGGUAGUAGAGUGCAUCCUCCCCUUCUGAAAAGUGAGUAUUUCAUAAAGUUGGAAUCGUUAUGAAAUACUCAUAUUAACUGUGUUUGAAUUUCACUGAAAUUCCAAUCCAGUCAAGAGAUAUACAGAGACAAAGUAAGGACUGCUUUUUUUGACACAAGGCUGUGUCUAUUGUAGAUCAUGCGGUCUCGAGGGAUCAUGCCGUGAUGUUCGCCCCAAGCACGACCACACCGGACCAAGAUGGCGGAGCCCGCGAGGGACAGUUUCAGGUAAGUAAAUUCACCUUUACCUGCCCCCUUCGGCCAUCGGACCCCCAACGGCAUUGUCACCAUCUGGGGACUUUGUGUAUUCGACAAAGUACCCAAACGGCGACAGUGCCUCUCUAGCCACUACAGCAAGC